rnacentral:lncRNA from 1 species
CUGGGCGGUGAGCCUCCGUACCCUCUCCACUCCGCGCACGCUCUGUUACCCCUCCAGCAAACCCCGCCUCCAGCCAGGACCCUUUUCAGUUGCCACCCCAAUAGUACUGUCCUCUGCGCGUAGUAGGGUCUUCUGUUACGGUGUGCCGGGUGACGGAUUGUACAGUCAGCCAGGUCCUGGGCUAGGGUUUCACAGAGUUCAGAACAUGCCCGUGUUCAUGACCAUAUAGUUUCACUUUUGCCCCAGGAUCUCUCAGCCUGGAGGCCCUCACCCGCCUGCCUCUGCUGCACCUCAAACCUAGGCAAGCCCCAUAAAGCCCCUUAUAAGGGCUUGGGAAGAAAAAACAAAGGAGUGCUUUGACUUUUAUUUCCUCUGGGAUGGGGAACUCCCAAGGGAGUUCAUUUCCCUUUCACCCCCUCCUAUGUUACCUGCACAGCUCCUACUCCCUGGGGUGUCCAGGACUCUGCUGGGCCCUGCCCACACCACUGACAAAGGUGUGGUAUGGUAAGCACAGAGUCUGCGUCCUGGGACAACCCAGGGAGUACAGGGAGGCUGUGUCAGGCUAUGGCAGGCAGGGCCUUCAUCUUGGAGGUGUCUCCUGACUUCCAGGGGCACUCUCUUCACUUCCUGAAUCCCUGAUCAGGAAGGGGAUUGGCAAGUGGCUGGCCUGCCACCUGGGCCACUGGCAAGUGGGUGGCCGGGGGGGGGGGGCUGUCUUCCUUCCCUGGAUGGGCUACGUUGGCACCUCAUUCCACCUUCCUCACUGUGCAUCCUGGCUCUCCUGGCUAGGUGGGCAUUGGGCAAGACAGGUGACAGGGCCUUGCAAAGGGAUGUCUGAAUAGGGUCGGUGGUGUUUUGAACCUCCCUGUGGGAGUGAACUGAAGGGGACUGGUCUGUGGAAUGUGCAGGUGGAGGUAGCUGAGAGCUCUUUGUCACGUACUAACUUAAACUGGCCCCAGUUGUUUGACCCCUCUGAGCCUCAGUUUUCUGUGUAAUGGGAGUACAGCAUUCACCCAGCGGGGCUGUUGAGGAUUAAAAUAUAAUCUGCCUAUAACAUGCCUCAUAUGUUGGAGGCAUGUAUGAGGUAAACCUUUUUUUAUUAUUGUGUUUGAACUGGCUGAAAGUCUGGGGACAUUUCCCUCAGCUUUGUUUCCAUGGAUAGAGUGAAUUCAAAUCCCGGAGCUGGCAGCUCCUUGGAAUUUGAAGGUGGGCUUUGAGAAAACUGUAAAGAGGCCAGUAACAUGUCAUGUUUAUGUCACCAUCCAAGAAUGAACCAUUUCAUACUAGUUUUCCAGACAUUAAUAUCUGAAACCUUAAAAAGAGAUAUUUUGGAUAGGAAUCACUAGUGGAUAUUACACGCUUUCCGGGCUUUUAAUCAGAGGUUACAGAACAUGUGAGUCUUCAUGACUCAGGGUUGUGGUUACAAGGGUCCAUCAGUAUCCUGGUUGUAAUACAGUGAAAAUCCAAGGCCUUUUUUGGCCCCACACCAACGGCUCAUUCCAUGAAGGCUACAUUUUCGUAGUUCUUGUGUCUACUUUUAUAGUACUUUAUCACUUCAUCAACUCUCUCCGUAUAAACUAUCACUUCUGUUACCAUCACUUUGCCUGCCUCCAGGGCAGACCACCAAACCCACCCUAUUCUCAACUUGUUUCUGUUUGGCUGUGGGCUGAGAUGUCCGAAAAUCACAUCUGUUGGAAGAUGUGAAAAACAACGAGAUCUUUUGAACUUGACAAAUUAUAUUAAAGUUCAUCUGGAGAAAUAAACAUGCAAAAAGAGCUUGGAAAAUCCUGAAAAAGAAGUAUUAUAAGGGACGACUAGUGCUACUAAAAUGUUGUAGAAAGCUCCAAUAAUAAAAUAGUUGGGUACUGGCACAAGAACAGACAGGCAGAUCAAAGGAGCAGAGUAGAGGCCAGACACACACCCGUGAACAAAUGGAAAUUAAAUAUAUGAUAAAAUGACAUUUUAGAUCAGAGGAGAAAAGAUGAAUUAUUCAAUCAAAUUGGACAACUGGUUAGCUGUUAAGGGGGAAAAAAAAGAAAUCCAGCUCCCCACUUCAUCUCUUAUUCUGAAAUAAAUCCCGAUGGAGUGAAGAUUUAAAUGUAAAAAGGAAACCAUAAAAUUACUAGAAGAAAACAUCUGAAAGUCUAAAAGUGUAUGUUCUUGGAUUGGGGAAAGUUUGACACAAAACCUAGGAGUCACAAAGGGAAAGAAUUUUUUAAAAUUGGCUGUAUUAAAAUAUGACGUAGGGUGUUGUGUUACAUGCCUGUAGUCCCAGCUCCUUGGGAGGCUGAGGUGGGAGGAUAACUUGAGCCCAGGAAUUUGAGGCCAGCCUGGGCACCACAGUGAGACUCCAUCUCUGAAAAAAAAAUGUGUUUUUAAUGUAAUAUCCUGAAUUCUAAAGACAACCGUCUGGAAAAAAUAUUUUUAACAUAGAUGACCGAUGAGUUUUUACAAGUCAAUAAGGAAAAUAAAAACGAAUAGAAAAAUGGGCAAAGCACAUAAACCGGUAAGGGGAUACUAAUGGUUAACAAGCAGGUGAAAAUGCUCACCCUCAGUCAAAAUAGAAGAAAUCAAAAUGAAGACAUGAGAAGAUUCUCUUUUCGCCAAUUUGAUUGACAACAACUAAAAUGGGCAACCCCUCACUGUGUGGACACAGACAUCCUCAGAGCUGGGGGGGAGGACAGUUGCACCUGUGAAGGGGAUUGGCAGUAUACAUGAGAAGAAUUAAUUCACAAACCAUGGACUCGAGGGUUCCAUAUCUAGGAAUUUAUCAGAUGCACUGUUAUAAAUGUCACAAGUGUUCAAAGUAUACAUACAAGUGUGUUCAUUGCAGUUUUGCUUCCAAACCUGAAAAACUGGAAGCAACAUUAAGUCCAUUAAUAGGGCACGGAUUGGAUAUGUUAUGAUGCCUCCAAACACCAAUAGUAUGCAGUGGUUGAAAAGAGUGAGGUUGAGGUUGUGUGUUGAUAUUCACUAAGUAGAAAAGCAAGUGGCAAGACAUUCCUUGGGUGGUGCUACUCCAUGAAGGGUGUGCCCUCUGCCAGCAUGGGCAUGGAGCCUAUUAGAAAUCCAGAAUCUUCAGCCAGUUGCAGUGGCUCAUGCCUGUAAUCCCAGCACUUUGGGAGGCCAAGGCAGAAGGAUUGCUUGAGCCCAGGAGUUCAAGACCAGCCUGGGCAGCAUGGCAAAACCUCUCUACAAAAAAUUAGCCUGUAGUCCCAGCUACUAGGGAUGCUGAGGCAGGAGGAUCGCUUGAGCCUGAGAGGUGGAGGUUUCAGGGAGCCAAGAUGGUGCCACUGCACUCCAGCCCAGGUGACAGAGAGAGACCCUGUCUGAAAAAACAAACAAAAAAGAAACCUGGAAUCUUGGGCCACCGUAGAACUACGGGAUCAGAAACACUAGGGCUGGAGCCCAGCAGUCUGUGGUUUUAACAUGUUCUCUGUAUGAUUCUGAUGCAUACUCGUGUUUGAGAAGUACUGAUGAGGAGUAUGUCACUAUAUGUGUAAAAAAUGGAUAAAAACCAGUUAGCCCUUCUGCCUCUAAAAUUUCAGAGUCACCAGAAAGGGCUUUCCAUGACCAGAGUGAGAAGGGAUGGAAAAGUCCACUUUUCACUUUAUGUGUUUCUGAACUGUUCAGACUUUUUGCCACGAGAAUAUAUUACUUUGGUUUUUUUAAAAAGUAGUUAACUCUGGAGACUGAGGCAGGAGAAUCGCUUGAACCUGGGUAGCGGAGGUUGCAGUAAGCCGGGAUCAAGCCACUGUGCUCCAGCCCGGGUGACAGAGCGAGACUCCGUCUCAAAAAAAAAAAAAAAAAAGUAGUUAAUAAAUAAAAAAAGCUACCCAAAUGGAGAAAGAAAAUGUGGUACAUACAUACAAUGGAAUAUUAUUAAGCCUUAAAAAGGAAGAAAAUUGUGACACAUGCUGUAACAGGGAUGAACUUUAAGGACAUUGUGCUAAGUGAAAUCAGCAAAUCACAAAAGGACAAAUAUUGUAUAAUUCCACUUUAAUGAGGUAACUAAGGUAGUUAGAUUCAUAGAGACAGAAAGUAGAAUGGUGGUUGCCAGGGGCUGGAGAGAUGGGGAGUUAGUGUUCAAUGAGCAGAGUUUCUGUUUUGUAAAAUGAAAAGAAUUCUGGAGAUGGAUGGUGUUGAUGGUUGCACAACAAUGUGAACAUAUGUAAUGUGAACGUAUGUAAUGUGAAUGUAUUUAAUGCCACUGAAAUGUACACUUAAAUG